AAGAAAGGGAAAAAGGGAAGAAGAAGAAAAAGUAAGUGUUGAUUUCUUCAAGCUUGGAUUUUCCAUUUCUCCAUUGAUUUAGAGAGGUAGGUGUAAGUAGGUUGAAUUAUCUUUUAAAGUUUAUAGAAAUUUUCUCAAAUUUAAGGUUUAGCAAAAAUUAAUGAUUGUUGAUAUAUGUUUGAGGCAUAAAAAAAACAACAAUAAUAUUAGUGUUGAAAGGAAGGAAAUGUGAAAUGGGUUUGUAAAUUAGAGUUUUAAUCUUUGAAUUAUUGUGUUUAUAUGAUACAUAAUAUUUGAUUUAUGAGGUAUUACAGUGUUAAAAGGAAUUAGGAUUAGAUUUUGCUAUUUAUAAUUAGAUUUCGUGAGAAAUUCAUGUAGGUACUACUUCGAAAUUCUGCCCAGGAUAGUGCUAUUUCUGUCAAUGGUUUCGGUGACUGUCUUUAAUAUACAGAAUCUGGUGUUACAAUUCAGUAUUCUGGGAUGUUAGUGCUGUUUUUGUCAAAACCCCUUAUUUUCAGAUUUUGAUUGUUUGAAUGAGGUUAUAUAAUAGAUAGUGAAUUUUAGGUAAUGGAUUAAGUUGUGUAUAGGGGUUGUGUAUAUACAAGGUAAUGAUUUUAAGAAAGUAUAGCAAUUAAUUGAUUUGAUUAUGUGUAGUGAUUGACUAGUAAAUAAUCAAGGAGAAGAAGAGUUGGGGAAAUGGGGAUGUAAAUAUAAUAGAAAUUGAGAAGUUAAGAUGUGGAUUUGUAUUAAUUUAAUUGUCAUAUUUAAAUUUGAGAAAUUAUACCUCUGUUUCAGGUAAGGAUGUGAAAGCUUGGAAAGGUUCGUCAAUUUAAUCAGAUCAGUAAGUGGAAAAAUAUAAAUAUUAUUAAAGUAUUUAUAAAUUAAGUAUAUUGUUAAAGUAUGUGUAAU
rnacentral:lncRNA from 1 species